rnacentral:rRNA from 1 species
UAUGUAGGGUGCAAGCGUUGUCCGGAAUUAUUGGGCGUAAAGAGCUCGCAGGCGGUUUGUCGCGUCUGCUGUGACAGUUCGGGGCUCAACCCCGGAACUGCAGUGGGUACGGGCAGACUAGAGUGCGGUAGAGGAGACUGGAAUUCCUGGUGUAGCGGUGGAAUGCGCAGAUAUCAGGAGGAACUCCAGGGGCGAAGGCGGUUCGCGGGGCCGCAAGUGACUUUGAGGAGAGAAAGCGUGGGGAGCGAACAGG